rnacentral:rRNA from 1 species
UACGUAGGGUGCGAGCGUUGUCCGGAUUUAUUGGGCGUAAAGGGCGCGCAGGCGGCUGAUCAAGUCAGAUGUGAAAGCCCCGGGCUCAACCUGGGAAUAGCAUUUGGGACUGGUCGGCUAGAGUUCGGGAGAGGAGAGUGGAAUUCCCGGUGUAGCGGUGAAAUGCGCAGAUAUCGGGAAGAACACCCGUGGCGAAGGCGGCUCUCUGGGACGGUACUGACGCUGAGACGCGAAAGCGUGGGGAGCGAACAGG